rnacentral:misc_RNA from 1 species
GAUGAAGAACGUAGCGAAAUGCGAUAAGUAAUGUGAAUUGCAGAAUUCAGUGAAUCAUCGAAUCUUUGAACGCACCUUGCGCCCUUUGGCCAUUCCGAAGGGCAUGCCUGUUUGAGUAUCAUGAGCACCUCAACUCUUUAUGGUUUUCCAUGAUGAGCUUGGACUUUGGGGGUUUUGCUGGCCUAUGGUCGGCUCCUCUAAAAUAAAUCAGCUUACCGGUGUUUGGUGGGUAUCAUGGGUGUGAUAACUAUCUACGCUUGUGGUUUUUCCACCAGGUAACCUUCGACAGCGGAGGUUCACUGGAGCUCAUAGAUGUCUCUCCUCAGCGAGGACAGCCCUUUGAAUGUUUGAUCUCAAAUCAGGUAGGACUACCCGCUGAACUUAAGCAUAUCAAUAAGCGGAGGA